UCAGUAAUUUGAGGACCAAAGAGGCCUGGA
rnacentral:piRNA from 1 species